CUUGCCUCCUGCUCAGGGUGAUCGUGUCUGUGCUUAUUAGAAAGUAUUUAUUGUUCUUUGAAGUUUAGAUAGAGUUUACGUUGUGUACAUAAGCAGUUCUUAAUCCAGUAUACCACAAUGGAGCUAGAGUAAUAUAUGAUAAAUAUUAUAUAUAUAUAAAUAGCUAUAUAUAAUUAUUUUGUUGUGAAAAAAAAGUUUCAUUUUUCGUGAGUUGUGACUGAGGCACAAGAGAUAUUUUGUACAAUGUUUUAGUAUUUUGGUAGCUAUUUUUAUAUGGAUUGCAUGCAGUAUGUUUCGUCAGCUUUCCCCGAGAGGUCAGGAAGGAGGAGAAAGGUGCAGCGAAAGAAGGGUUCCAGACCAGACCAGACCAGACAGGCAGUGCUCACCCCCAGCCUCCCCACCCUCCAGCACAUUUACUUUGGGUUGGCAGUCGACACCCUCUCCUUCCUCGGCACACAAAUACCAGAGACCAUCCACCUCAUUACCUUUACCUCUAAACGCUUACUCUAGGUUGGCAGUUCAGUCCUUUUCCUUCCUUUCCCAGCACACAAAUACCAGAGACCAUCCCCCCCUCAGCACUGCCUCUAAACACUCACUCUAGGUUCACAGUCCACUCCCUCUCCUUCCUUUCCUCAGCACACAAAUACCAGAGACCAUCCCCCCCUCAGCACUGCCUCUAAACACUCACUCUAGGUUCACAGUCCACUCCCUCUCCUUCCUUUCCUCAGCACACAAAUACCAGAGACCAUCCCCCCCUCAGCACUGCCUCUAAACACUCACUCUAGGUUCACAGUCCACUCCCUCUCCUUCCUUUCCUCAGCACACAAAUACCAGAGACCAUCCCCCUCAGCACUGCCUCUAAACACUCACUCUAGGUUCACAGUCCACUCCCUCUCCUUCCUUUCCUCAGCACACAAAUACCAGAGACCAUCCCCCUCAGCACUGCCUCUAAACACUCACUUUAGUUCACAGUCCACUCCCUCUCCUUCCUUUCUCAGCACACAAAUACCAGAGACCAUCCCCCCCCAGCACUCCCUCUAAACACUCACUUUAGUUCACAGUCCACUCCCUUUCCUUCCUUUCCUCAGCUCACAAAUACCAGAGACCAUCCCCCUCUGCACCACUCCCUCUAAAUGCUUACUCUAGGUUGGCAGCCAGUCCCUCUCCUUCCUUUCCCAGCACAAAUACUUGAGACCAGAACCAUAUAAUAGGAGAGUUCCUUUAAUUGUCUGUAUUCCUCAGUUGUUCUCUGUAUUUCUCUUUUUUUCUGUAUUUCACUCUCCUCUCUCAUGUAUUUGGUAAGGUCUUAUGUUCGCUUUCAUGUAGUCCCUUCUUUGUCUCUUUCUUCUUCAACUUCCUUUUCUUCUUCUUUUUCUUCCUGGUUCUGCAGCUCUAAAAGUAAAGUUUGGGGCAUAGUCCAUAGCUGCCACUGAGGGUUAUUGGGUCCAAGUCCGGUCCCUCGAAGUCCUGCUUAAAAUUUCCUACACUCAGGUUCCCCGGCCUUCUCCAGGUACACAGUCAGUCAAUCAGACGCUGCGUUGAACAUUGACGAGCUGUUGACGGACUUUCGUAUGAAAUAACAUGUGCCUUUUUCACCCUCCUCAGCCUUCUUCCACUCCUCUCCUAUAUCCUUCUCUGCCUCCUUCCUCUCUACUCCUACUCCUGGACCUUUCUCAGCCUUCUUCUACUCCUUUCCUACUCCUACACCUUCUUUAGCCCCCUUCCACUCCCUGUCUUAUUCCUAUUCCACCUUCCUCUGCUUCCUUUCACUCUCCUACUCCUAUACCUUUAUCAGCCUCCUUCCUACUCCUCUACCUUUCCCUGCCUCCUUCCACUACCCUCCUCUUCUUACUCCACCUUUUUCAUCCUCCUUCCACUCUCCUCCUAAUCCAUAUGCAUUGCCGCGUGGAGAGAGAUUACCGAGUCCAGUUUAGAAUAAUGUCACCCUUGUAAACAAACUACCGAGGUCAUUUUUUUCACUGAUUUAUGGAUACUUGGCACAAUCGGUUUAUUUCAUUAUGUGGCGCACCUUUUGAGAGGGCUGUUGUGGUCGUUCUAUCGGGUUCUAAAAAUUCACCUUCUUAACUUGUCUGCCUUUCUGUGACCUCUUUCUGUUUACACUUUUGCAGGAGCAGUGAUGGGCAAGCUUUUUUUAUUCCUUUCCAUGUUUAUUACCCUUGAGUGUUUUCCCUUACUGUAAAUAAAAAUAUAUCACAUCGACUGGAAUACAACAGCGACAAAUGAAGGUAGAAAAAUGACUCCGGCAGUUUGUUUACGAAGGUUACGGUGGGUUAAUUUUCUUGCCUGUAACCGUACGUCUCGGCAGGUGGUCAAGUUAUGAUCAUUACGGUAGCUGGUUUUGGUCCAACAUCUUAUUAGCGUUAGUCCGACGUGUUUGGUUUGGUGUCGUCCUCUCGAGGGGAAAGAAAAGUCUGGUGUCGAAGCGAGGGAACAAGUAUCCUCAAGAACGUGGUGCCCCAGUAUUACCAUUAGUACAUUACCGUUUUCUUGGCAUUUUAAGGAAUACUCUGUUGUUUUCCUUGUACGUAAACUGCACAAAUACCUACGUUGCAUUUCAUAGUCUGUAAGCUCUGUGUUAUUCAGUUGCUUGUAUCUCGUAUUGUCAGAAGGAAGUCGUCUGUAAGGAGAGGAAGGGAUCAAGCUCGUGCAGAUAAUCUCUCACUGUUUGUAUGGUACUAAGUUAAGUGUGUUGUCAUUUCUUAGCCGAAGCAUGUGCCAAAACAAGCUUCCUCAUCUUUUACAGCGCUGAUUUUGUGAAGCUUGGUCAUCGGAAGCUUAGGUCAUGGACAGCUUGUAGCCAUAUUAAAUUUUCUUGUUAGUUUUUCAAAGAGUGAUAAAAGUGUAGAUAUAAUUUUCAGCUGUCCAUUAAGAAGAAAUAUUGGUAAAUUUGUGGAGAUCGGUCAUCGGAAGCAUAGGUCACGGACAGCUUAUGACCAUAUUAAUAGUUUGUGUUAGGUUUUCAAAGAGCGACAAAAGUGUAGAUAUAAUUUUCAGGUGUCCGAUAAGAAGAAAUAUUAGUAAAUUCGAGAAGCUAGGGUCAUGGACAGCUUGUAGCCAUAUUAAUUUUUCAAAGGGCAUAUCAAAGUGUGGAUAUAAUUUUAUGCUGUCCAUUAAGAGGAAAUACUAGUUACUUCAGUGGACAACUUGGUAGCCUUCAUGUGUGUCUUUUCUGUUUCAUAUUUAUCAAAGAGCACUGGAACUCACUGAUACCCUUGGUGGUUUCUAAACUUUAAUGCUCUCCAAGUUGUGAUGUGACUUGUAAGCUUCCAUGCAUAACAAUACUACUCUUUACUGGAAACUCGCAUCAACCGGGAACUAGGAUGUUACGUCUUCGCUGGUAACCUUGCUGACGGCACAGGGACGAACACAGAAGACGAUCGUGUGAUUCGUAAACUUCCGUUCAUAAGUGUAACGUCUCUUUCUACCAAUUCACACAAAGCAGGAAGCACAAAAACUCAAGCACUCAUUUGUUGUAAGGUGAUAACUCAUCAGUUGUCCUUGGUCUUGAUGGCAAUAGAGGAGAGAGAUGCUUUUCAUGAGAUUACUAAUAGCAGGUUAACUUACGCAAGAUACAAAGUGAUUCCUUCUCUCCACAGUUACUUUUGGAAUGGUAACAGAACAGAAUAUAUUUUUUUAAAGGAUGCAACAAGCAGGAUCACAAUGAAGUUAGCAUUCCAUGUAAUCUUUCUGAAAUAGACCAAUUCCAUAUGGCUUUCAUACACAACUAAUUACAGCCUCUUAACAAAAUGGCACCUACUUAUAUACAAGCAAGUUACUCCUAUUAUUGACGUUUCAGAGAUAAUCAUUUAGAAUCAACCCAGAAAUUGGUUACGUCGCCUGGUUUGUUUUGGUGACUGGUUGCGUUUACCGUUUACUAUCACGAAUGUGUCAUGAAAAUUAUUUAUCUGUAUAACACUUGCCUGGUUUUGGUGUAUAAUGAAAAGUGUGAUUGGUAUGCCUGUCUUAAUAAGCAGUUUUAUGACAUGGACUAAGGUCUGUAGGAAGUCUAAAUCACUGAGCCUGCCUUGGGACACCUGUGAGAGGCCGUAAACCAGUGCAGGUGUGAGGUGCCAGGCGACAUAUCACUAACCUCAGAAAUGGUGUGUGUGUGUUUGUAUGAGUAUACGAGUGAAUGUGUGUGUGUGAUAGCAGUGGCCUCCCAUUAGGUUCAUUUUUUGUGUAAGUGCGUAUGUGAUGUGUAUAUUACGUCGUGCAAUAUUGGUAGUCACGCUGAAGAUGUAUAUAGUAUUACAGAGAUUGUUACCAGAGCACAUUUGCCCCUCUGGCUGGACUGUGGUUAGUGGGUGAAGGUGGACAGCAGUGUGGCUGAAGUAAAAUUAUAUAUCUAAAUAAAUGACAAUUCAUGAGAUACAAUUCUCA